rnacentral:rRNA from 1 species
UACGGAGGGGGCUAGCGUUGUUCGGAAUUACUGGGCGUAAAGCGCACGUAGGCGGCUUUGCAAGUUAGAGGUGAAAGCCCGGGGCUCAACCCCGGAAUUGCCUUUAAGACUGCAUCGCUUGAAUCCGGGAGAGGUGAGUGGAAUUCCGAGUGUAGAGGUGAAAUUCGUAGAUAUUCGGAAGAACACCAGUGGCGAAGGCGGCUCACUGGACCGGGUAUUGACGCUGAGGUGCGAAAGCGUGGGGAGCAAACAGG